GUGAUUUUUUAAUGUUGUCACCAUAAUUUGCUUUAAAAUGUGACUUUAAAAGAAGGACAAGUAAAAAGUGACCAUAAAAUGAACGCUUGAAUUGAAUAACUAGGAUCUCCUUUCCAUGAACGGAUUUUACAUGUUUUUUACAAAAAAAUGUGGCAAUUAUGGAAUGAACGAUGAGAAAUCAGAUGGAAGACCGAGGAUAUAUCCUGUACAAGAUCAGCAGACGCCAGUGAAACUAAUCGGCCAUAGAUGGCGUGAUUCUAGAAGGUAGGUGAAACCAUUACCAAACACAGUGUUUAGAUUCCAUUUAGAUCAAUAAAUUGUAAGUAAACGUUUAUUAAUUUCUUU